rnacentral:rRNA from 1 species
GACGAACCGAGCGAACGUUAUUCGGAAUCACUGGGCUUAAAGGGCGCGUAGGCGGGCGGCCAAGUCAAGGGUGAAAGCCUCCAGCUCAACUGGAGAAGUGCCUUUGAUACUGGUCAUCUUGAGGGAGGUAGGGGCGUGCGGAACUUCCGGUGGAGCGGUGAAAUGCGUAGAUAUCGGAAGGAACACCGGUGGCGAAAGCGGCGCGCUGGACCUCUUCUGACGCUGAGGCGCGAAAGCCAGGGGAGCAAACGGG